rnacentral:sRNA from 1 species
GUCGACGCUGCGGCCGAGAUCGUCGAGAUCCGUGACCUGCUUCUCCUCCAGGGUCUUUGCGUCGAUCUCGGUCGCAAGCGGC